UACAGAGACUGCAAGCGUUAUUCGGAUUCACUGGGCGUAAAGGGUGCGCAGGCGGCCAAGUGUGUCAGGUGUGAAAUCCCGAGGCUUAACCUCGGAACUGCGCCUGAAACUACUUGGCUAGAGUACUGGAGAGGGUAACGGAAUUCACGGUGUAGCAGUGAAAUGCGUAGGUAUCGUGAGGAACACCAGAGGCGAAGGCGGUUACCUGGACAGUUACUGACGCUCAGGCACGAAAGCGUGGGGAGCAAAAGGG
rnacentral:rRNA from 1 species